rnacentral:rRNA from 1 species
GAUGAACGCUGGCGGCGUGCCUAAUACAUGCAAGUCGAGCGAACGGACGAGAAGCUUGCUUUUCUGAUGUUAGCGGCGGACGGGUGAGUAACACGUGGAUAACCUACCUAUAAGACUGGGAUAACUUCGGGAAACCGGAGCUAAUACCGGAUAAUAUUUUGAACCGCAUGGUUCAAAAGUGAAAGACGGUCUUGCUGUCACUUAUAGAUGGAUCCGCGCUGCAUUAGCUAGUUGGUAAGGUAACGGCUUACCAAGGCAACGAUGCAUAGCCGACCUGAGAGGGUGAUCGGCCACACUGGAACUGAGACACGGUCCAGACUCCUACGGGAGGCAGCAGUAGGGAAUCUUCCGCAAUGGGCGAAAGCCUGACGGAGCAACGCCGCGUGAGUGAUGAAGGUCUUCGGAUCGUAAAACUCUGUUAUUAGGGAAGAACAUAUGUGUAAGUAACUGUGGACAUCUUGACGGUACCUAAUCAGAAAGCAACGGCUAACUACGUG